rnacentral:rRNA from 1 species
CCCUUAGAUGUUCUGGGCUGCACGCGCGCUACACUGAUGCGUGCAACGAGUUUUCGACCUUGCCUGAAAAGGUUGGGUAAUCUGUUUAACAUGUGUCGUGAUGGGGAUAGACCAUUGCAAUUAUUGAUCUUCAACGAGGAAUUCCUAGUAAGCGCGAGUCAUCAGCUCGUGCUGAUUAUGUCCCUGCCCUUUGUACACACCGCCCGUCGCUCCUACCGAUUGAGCGAUCCGGUGAAUGAUUCGGACCAGCGUGCUGCUCAGAUCCUGCGCAGUGUGCUGGGAAGUCUAGUGAACCUUAUCACUUAGAGGAAGGAGAAGUCGUAACA